UACAGAGGGUGCGAGCGUUGUUCGGAAUUACUGGGCGUAAAGGGCGCGUAGGCGGACAGUUAAGUCAGAGGUGAAAGCCCAGGGCUCAACCCUGGAAUUGCCUUUGAUACUGGCUGUCUUGAGUGCGGGAGAGGUGUGUGGAACUCCGAGUGUAGAGGUGAAAUUCGUAGAUAUUCGGAAGAACACCAGUGGCGAAGGCGACACACUGGCCCGUAACUGACGCUGAGGCGCGAAAGCGUGGGGAGCAAACAGG
rnacentral:rRNA from 1 species